CUUUCCAAAACAAUUUUUCAAAACCAUUUCUGAAAAAAGACAAACCAAACAAGUUUUCGUACUUUUUAUUUCAAAAACUACUCUACAAAUACAAACCAAACACACCCUUAAUAUUUAAAAAUGCUAAAUUAAGAUGGUAAAAUUUUUACUUUCAUGUAUAUCGUAAAAUUUUACUAUCAACAAAAUAAUGAAUUUUGAAUAAUUUUUUAUUAGUUGUUACAAGCCACUAUUUUCAUGUUAGUUUGCUAGUGUUAUCACUAUUGUUGUUCUUUCCAUCAUUAUCAUAAUUAUUGUUUCUGACUGGUAUAUUAGUUUCUAUAGAUUGUGGCUUUCUGUCUAUGGAAGAAUAUAUGUGGAAGUAUAACAAUUCUGUUUUUAUAUCUCUUUCAGUGUUCUUAACAAUAACUUUUGCUACUUCAGAGGUUCAUACGUAGUGAGAUGAUCAAGUAUGUUUGUACUUUUGGAGGUAGCACACCAGCGAUUUGUUUUUACAAAGGUACAUUCUUACCUAAUUUUUAUCUUGUUGUAUAGUGAAUGGCUUCUAGAGCUUCCUGAGUAGAUAAAAAAUGUGUCUCCCUUUCUUCAAUUAUUUUGUAUAUUUGUAUAUGCAUAUAUUCUUACUAUUGGCUCAAAAGACAAAUAAACCCUGUUUUUUCUUUUCUUUAUUUUUGCACCUAUAGUUUAUUGGCCUUCAAAUGUUCACAAGUGAUGAGAAAUCUUAUGAAGAAGAGGAUGAGGUCGUUGUUUAUAGCAUUUCAGUGAUGAUUGUCAAGUUGAGUUGUCAGGCCAACAAAUCUGUGCACAAAGCAGCCAACAAAUCUGUGCACAACGCAGUGGAUUAACCAUGUGCUAAAUUUCCACUUUCCUUCACGUCCAAGCAGGGACAAAGGUUAGACCUCAAACAAACCUGGAGCAGCACCCUGGACCUCGAAGAAUCAGAAAGGAGUGUUGGCCAUGUUGAUAAGUAUUAUAUGGGACCAGGAGACCAAUGCUGUAGGUCAAAGAAGGAAGUCUUACAAUACAUUAAUCAAAUGAACAGAGCUGCCAAGUUUGGAUUUGGUAAAAACCAGGUUUGAGCAGCUUACGAUAAUAGAUGAUGGCAGGCCAUGUUAUUAUGCCUUGAUUCAUAACUCGAUAUCUAAGAGGCUUGUCAAGUUGGUGAAAACCUGGUUUGGGCUGCUUAGGAUGGUAGUGGUGGUUUGCCACGUUACUAUGCCUUGAUUCAUAGUGUGGUAUCCUAGAGGUCUUUCAAGUUGGUGAAAACCAGGUUUGGGCUGCUUAUGAUGAUGAUGAUGGCUUGCGAUGUUACUUAUGCCUUAAUCCAUAGUGUGAUAUCCAAGGGGCCUUUCAAGUUGGUGAAAACCAGGUUUGGGCUGCUUAUGAUGAUAUUGGCUUGCCACGUUACCAUGCCUUGAUAUCCAAGAGGCCUUUCAAGUUGGUGAAAAUCAAGUCUGGGCUUAUGAUGACGAUGAUGGCAUGCAGUGUUACUAUGCCUUAAUUCAUAGUGUGACAUCUAAGAGGCCUUUCAAGUUGGUGAAAAUUGGGUUUGGGCUGCUUAUGAUGAUGAUGAUGGCAUGCCGCUUUACUCUGCUUUGAUUCAUAGUGCAAUAUCUAAGAGGCCUUUCAAGUUACGGAGGAAUGCACAAGUUGAAGUUCCAUGACAACUUAUCCCUCAGACGUCCAUAGGCACAAGCUUGACUGAAGAGGAUCGACCAGUGCUUCUACUAUACUGAGGAGCCAUUCGCAGCAAUAAGGGAUAAUGAACAGUGAUGGCAACAUGAAAUUGAAUCGUUCAUUAGGAAACAUUUGUUUUCAUUUAUUUGGAUUUUUUUUUUCCUUUUCAGAAUGCAUGUAUAAAGCACAAAUGUAUAUGAGCUCUUUUUGCACAUUGUACAAACUCUCAGUUUGUGUAAUGUACAUAUUUCAUCUUUUUGCCUGA